GAUGAACGCUGGCGGCGUGCUUAACACAUGCAAGUCGAACGAACCUUCGGGUUAGUGGCGGACGGGUGAGUAACGCGUGAGAAUCUGCCCUCAGGAGGGGGACAACAGCUGGAAACGGCUGCUAAUACCCCAUAUGCCGCGAGGUGAAAUGAAUUUCGCCUGAGGAUGAGCUCGCGUCUGAUUAGCUAGUUGGUGUAGGUAAUGGCUCACCAAGGCAUCGAUCAGUAGCUGGUCUGAGAGGAUGAUCAGCCACACUGGGACUGAGACACGGCCCAGACUCCUACGGGAGGCAGCAGUGGGGAAUUUUCCGCAAUGGGCGAAAGCCUGACGGAGCAACGCCGCGUGAGGGAUGAAGGCCUCUGGGCUGUAAACCUCUUUUCUCAAGGAAGAAGAUCUGACGGUACUUGAGGAAUAAGCCACGGCUAAUUCCGU
rnacentral:rRNA from 2 species